ACAACUAAGUUCCCUCACAUUAUACUUCAACAACAUGUCUGCCUAAACAAGCUCUGAAGAAGGACAACACCAAUAGAAAUGUUAAUGCGGAUAGGAGACUCUCAAGGGGACCCACUAAAGGACAAAAACUACAGGCAACUAAGAAACUGAAAGAAAUUUCAACAAAGCAAUUCCAAUAUAAAUAUACUAUAGUCCUAUAGGCCCACAAGAGACUGAACUGUUGUCCACAAUAUACUGAGCCCAGUAGGAGAGGGAGUCAAGAUGCUUCAUUUUUACUUGAACCAAUACUACCUAAAGGUGAAAGAUGACAAGACAUGAGUAAAUUGCUAAAGACCCAGAAAGACCAGAAAGACAGCAUCAGGACCUCCUACAUGACUACUAGGUACAAGCUUCAAAUUCCACAUACUUGAUACACUUACUUGUGAAUGGAAUUCCAGAAGCUCAUGGAAAAUAAUUUAUUGGGCCUACAUUUAAGAUGCAGAAACCAAGAACCAAAUGAUUACGACAGAUUGCAGACAACUGGGACAGAAACGAGUUGUUCACUUAGAGGCACUACAAUUAGCGUGCCCAAGAGACCACGAAGUAACCGAGAAUGAGAGUAAUACCUAUUCAAGUCUCUUGAAACUCAAUAAUGGGAACUAACUGAAAGAAGAAUUCUUACAUCUUGAAUUGGAAAUGAGAAUAAGUUUGUUAUUGGUAAAGAGAAGAAAGAAUAUAUAUGGUUCACGAACAGAAUAUAACUAGAAAUCCUGUGUGAGUAGAAGUGUUGAUGCACAUCUAAGAUCAGAAAAACAGCAUCAGCACUGUGCUGUUUCAAAACGUAUUGUUUUGAGAAAGAAAAUGCUCUAAUAGAUUUUUAAUGUGAUUUCAUUUAUACUAUAAAACAGUAUAUCCCAAGUUCUGAUAAAUUUUGUAGUACAUAUUAUACUCGAAAACAAACAUCUAAAAGAUUUAUUCUAAUAAUUAGAAAUCUUCCUAAGUUAUAUUUAAUUUUAAGAUGAAAGUAUCAAUAAAUUACUAACUUAAGAAAAACAAAGCAAUCAGGGUAUUCAGAAUUAUUGUUUGAAUUAAUGUAUGAGGUUGUAAAAUUAUAAUGUUUAUUCAUCUAUCAUUUGAAAGAAACAAUUACACUUUGAGAAAGGUUUUCAACUCAUAUUAGUUAUUCAUAACUUGACAAACUAAAAAAAAAACAAAGGUUCAGUAUGUAAAUUUCAAUGUUAUACACUUUCAAAUUCCUCUCAAGUGAGGAAUGAAUGUGAUUGAAGUACUGUUGUUUCCAUUGCAUAAAUCACUUCCUUCCUAUUGAUUCUGGGUGUUUUAUAGUUUUAUCAGAAAAAUGUAUUAUCACUGCAACACAGGUAUUUGUAAAUGUCAGCAUUACAUUCUUUUCUUUUCAUCUGUAUAAAAAGGUAUCAAACAGAUUUAACAAUAAAGGUUCAUAUUACUGAAUACAUAAACACCUAUAUUUAAUAAAAAUUCAGCAAACUAAGAAUGAUUAGAGAAAUGAAAUCCACUGUUGUGUUUAUAUUUAAUUAAACAUUACUCUGUCAAAA